rnacentral:rRNA from 1 species
UACGUAGGGUCCGAGCGUUGUCCGGAAUUAUUGGGCGUAAAGAGCUCGUAGGCGGUUUGUCGCGUCUGCUGUGAAAUCCCGAGGCUCAACCUCGGGCCUGCAGUGGGUACGGGCAGACUGGAGUGCGGUAGGGGAGAACGGAAUUCCUGGUGUAGCGGUGAAAUGCGCAGAUAUCAGGAGGAACACCGGUGGCGAAGGCGGUUCUCUGGGCAUUACCUGACGCUGAGGAGCGAAAGUGUGGGGAGCGAACAGG